rnacentral:rRNA from 1 species
UUAAGCGACUAAGCGUACACGGUGGAUGCCCUGGCAGUCAGAGGCGAUGAAGGACGUGCUAAUCUGCGAUAAGCGUCGGUGAGGUGAUAUGAACCGUUAUAACCGGCGAUUUCCGAAUGGGGAAACCCAGUGUGUUUCGACACACUAUCAUUAACUGAAUCCAUAGGUUAAUGAGGCGAACCGGGGGAACUGAAACAUCUAAGUACCCCGAGGAAAAGAAAUCAACCGAGAUUCCCCCAGUAGCGGCGAGCGAACGGGGAGGAGCCCAGAGCCUGAAUCAGUGUGUGUGUUAGUGGAAGCGUCUGGAAAGGCGCGCGAUACAGGGUGACAGCCCCGUACACAAAAAUGCACAUAUUGUGAGCUCGAUGAGUAGGGCGGGACACGUGGUAUCCUGUCUGAAUAUGGGGGGACCAUCCUCCAAGGCUAAAUACUCCUGACUGACCGAUAGUGAACCAGUACCGUGAGGGAAAGGCGAAAAGAACCCCGGCGAGGGGAGUGAAAAAGAACCUGAAACCGUGUACGUACAAGCAGUGGGAGCCUCUUAAUGGGGUGACUGCGUACCUUUUGUAUAAUGGGUCAGCGACUUAUAUUCUGUAGCAAGGUUAACCGAAUAGGGGAGCCGAAGGGAAACCGAGUCUUAACUGGGCGUUAAGUUGCAGGGUAUAGACCCGAAACCCGGUGAUCUAGCCAUGGGCAGGUUGAAGGUUGGGUAACACUAACUGGAGGACCGAACCGACUAAUGUUGAAAAAUUAGCGGAUGACUUGUGGCUGGGGGUGAAAGGCCAAUCAAACCGGGAGAUAGCUGGUUCUCCCCGAAAGCUAUUUAGGUAGCGCCUCGUGAAUUCAUCUCCGGGGGUAGAGCACUGUUUCGGCAAGGGGGUCAUCCCGACUUACCAACCCGAUGCAAACUGCGAAUACCGGAGAAUGUUAUCACGGGAGACACACGGCGGGUGCUAACGUCCGUCGUGAAGAGGGAAACAACCCAGACCGCCAGCUAAGGUCCCAAAGUCAUGGUUAAGUGGGAAACGAUGUGGGAAGGCCCAGACAGCCAGGAUGUUGGCUUAGAAGCAGCCAUCAUUUAAAGAAAGCGUAAUAGCUCACUGGUCGAGUCGGCCUGCGCGGAAGAUGUAACGGGGCUAAACCAUGCACCGAAGCUGCGGCAGCGACGCUUAUGCGUUGUUGGGUAGGGGAGCGUUCUGUAAGCCUGCGAAGGUGUGCUGUGAGGCAUGCUGGAGGUAUCAGAAGUGCGAAUGCUGACAUAAGUAACGAUAAAGCGGGUGAAAAGCCCGCUCGCCGGAAGACCAAGGGUUCCUGUCCAACGUUAAUCGGGGCAGGGUGAGUCGACCCCUAAGGCGAGGCCGAAAGGCGUAGUCGAUGGGAAACAGGUUAAUAUUCCUGUACUUGGUGUUACUGCGANNNNNNNNNNUCCUAAGGCGAGGCCGAAAGGCGUAGUCGAUGGGAAACAGGUUAAUAUUCCUGUACUUGGUGUUACUGCGAAGGGGGGACGGAGAAGGCUAUGUUGGCCGGGCGACGGUUGUCCCGGUUUAAGCGUGUAGGCUGGUUUUCCAGGCAAAUCCGGAAAAUCAAGGCUGAGGCGUGAUGACGAGGCACUACGGUGCUGAAGCAACAAAUGCCCUGCUUCCAGGAAAAGCCUCUAAGCAUCAGGUAACAUCAAAUCGUACCCCAAACCGACACAGGUGGUCAGGUAGAGAAUACCAAGGCGCUUGAGAGAACUCGGGUGAAGGAACUAGGCAAAAUGGUGCCGUAACUUCGGGAGAAGGCACGCUGAUAUGUAGGUGAAGCGACUUGCUCGUGGAGCUGAAAUCAGUCGAAGAUACCAGCUGGCUGCAACUGUUUAUUAAAAACACAGCACUGUGCAAACACGAAAGUGGACGUAUACGGUGUGACGCCUGCCCGGUGCCGGAAGGUUAAUUGAUGGGGUUAGCGGUAACGCGAAGCUCUUGAUCGAAGCCCCGGUAAACGGCGGCCGUAACUAUAACGGUCCUAAGGUAGCGAAAUUCCUUGUCGGGUAAGUUCCGACCUGCACGAAUGGCGUAAUGAUGGCCAGGCUGUCUCCGCCCGAGACUCAGUGAAAUUGAACUCGCUGUGAAGAUGCAGUGUACCCGCGGCAAGACGGAAAGACCCCGUGAACCUUUACUAUAGCUUGACACUGAACAUUGAGCCUUGAUGUGUAGGAUAGGUGGGAGGCUUUGAAGUGUGGACGCCAGUCUGCAUGGAGCCGACCUUGAAAUACCACCCUUUAAUGUUUGAUGUUCUAACGUUGGCCCGUAAUCCGGGUUGCGGACAGUGUCUGGUGGGUAGUUUGACUGGGGCGGUCUCCUCCUAAAGAGUAACGGAGGAGCACGAAGGUUGGCUAAUCCUGGUCGGACAUCAGGAGGUUAGUGCAAUGGCAUAAGCCAGCUUGACUGCGAGCGUGACGGCGCGAGCAGGUGCGAAAGCAGGUCAUAGUGAUCCGGUGGUUCUGAAUGGAAGGGCCAUCGCUCAACGGAUAAAAGGUACUCCGGGGAUAACAGGCUGAUACCGCCCAAGAGUUCAUAUCGACGGCGGUGUUUGGCACCUCGAUGUCGGCUCAUCACAUCCUGGGGCUGAAGUAGGUCCCAAGGGUAUGGCUGUUCGCCAUUUAAAGUGGUACGCGAGCUGGGUUUAGAACGUCGUGAGACAGUUCGGUCCCUAUCUGCCGUGGGCGCUGGAGAACUGAGGGGGGCUGCUCCUAGUACGAGAGGACCGGAGUGGACGCAUCACUGGUGUUCGGGUUGUCAUGCCAAUGGCACUGCCCGGUAGCUAAAUGCGGAAGAGAUAAGUGCUGAAAGCAUCUAAGCACGAAACUUGCCCCGAGAUGAGUUCUCCCUGAGACUUUAAGUCUCCUGAAGGAACGUUGAAGACGACGACGUUGAUAGGCCGGGUGUGUAAGCGCAGCGAUGCGUUGAGCUAACCGGUACUAAUGAACCGUGAGGCUUAACCUU